rnacentral:rRNA from 1 species
GAGAGCUUGCUGGUAGGCUUAAAGCGGCGGACGGGUGAGUAAUGUCUGGGAAACUGCCUGAUGGAGGGGGAUAACUACUGGAAACGGUAGCUAAUACCGCAUAACGUCGCAAGACCAAAGAGGGGGACCUUCGGGCCUCUUGCCAUCAGAUGUGCCCAGAUGGGAUUAGCUAGUAGGUGGGGUAAUGGCUCACCUAGGCGACGAUCCCUAGCUGGUCUGAGAGGAUGACCAGCCACACUGGAACUGAGACACGGUCCAGACUCCUACGGGAGGCAGCAGUGGGGAAUAUUGCACAAUGGGCGCAAGCCUGAUGCAGCCAUGCCGCGUGUGUGAAGAAGGCCUUCGGGUUGUAAAGCACUUUCAGCGAGGAGGAAGGUGGUGAACUUAAUACGUUCAUCAAUUGACGUUACUCGCAGAAGAAGCACCGGCUAACUCCGUGCCAGCAGCCGCGGUAAUACGGAGGGUGCAAGCGUUAAUCGGAAUUACUGGGCGUAAAGCGCACGCAGGCGGUUUGUUAAGUCAGAUGUGAAAUCCCCGGGCUCAACCUGGGAACUGCAUUUGAAACUGGCAAGCUAGAGUCUCGUAGAGGGGGGUAGAAUUCCAGGUGUAGCGGUGAAAUGCGUAGAGAUCUGGAGGAAUACCGGUGGCGAAGGCGGCCCCCUGGACGAAGACUGACGCUCAGGUGCGAAAGCGUGGGGAGCAAACAGGAUUAGAUACCCUGGUAGUCCACGCUGUAAACGAUGUCGAUUUGGAGGUUGUGCCCUUGAGGCGUGGCUUCCGGAGCUAACGCGUUAAAUCGACCGCCUGGGGAGUACGGCCGCAAGGUUAAAACUCAAAUGAAUUGACGGGGGCCCGCACAAGCGGUGGAGCAUGUGGUUUAAUUCGAUGCAACGCGAAGAACCUUACCUACUCUUGACAUCCAGAGAACUUUCCAGAGAUGGAUUGGUGCCUUCGGGAACUCUGAGACAGGUGCUGCAUGGCUGUCGUCAGCUCGUGUUGUGAAAUGUUGGGUUAAGUCCCGCAACGAGCGCAACCCUUAUCCUUUGUUGCCAGCGGUUCGGCCGGGAACUCAAAGGAGACUGCCAGUGAUAAACUGGAGGAAGGUGGGGAUGACGUCAGGUCUUCUGGCCCUUACAAAUAGGGCUACCCCCGGGCUACAAGGGCGUUAACAAGAGAAACCACCCCGCAGAACAACGGACCCCAAAAAUACUCCCUAAUCCCGGAUUGGAUUUCGCCCCCCACCCCCGA